CCUACGGGAGGCAGCAGUGGGGGAUAUUGCACAAUGGGGGAAACCCUGAUGCAGCGACGCCGCGUGUGGGAAGACGGUCCUCUGGAUUGUAAACCACUGUCACCAGGGACGAAGAUGACGGUACCUGGGGAGGAAGCUCCGGCUAACUACGUGCCAGAAGCCGCGUUACUACGUAGGGAGCGGGCGUUGUCCGGAAUUACUGGGUGUAACGGGAGCGUAGGCGGGACUGCAGGUGGGUGGUAAAAUCUUCCGGUCAAACCGGUAGCCGCAAUCAACACUGGAGUCCUUGAGUGCAGUAGAGGCAGGCGGAAUUCCUAGUGUAGCGGUGAAAUGCGUAGAUAUUAGGAGGAACACCAGUGGUGAAGGCAGCCUGCUGGGCUUUUACUGACGCUGAGGCUCGAAAGUGUGGGGAGCAAACAGGAUUAGAUACCCUGGUAGUC
rnacentral:rRNA from 1 species